rnacentral:rRNA from 1 species
GAUGAACGCUGGCGGCGUGCCUAAUACAUGCAGGUCGAGCGAACCACUUCGGUGGUGAGCGGCGAACGGGUGAGUAACACGUGGGUGAUCUGCCCAUCAGACGGGGACAACGAUUGGAAACGAUCGCUAAUACCGGAUAGGACGAAAGUUUAAAGGUGCUUCUGGCACCGCUGAUGGAUGAGCCUGCGGCGCAUUAGCUAGUUGGUAGGGUAAAGGCCUACCAAGGCGACGAUGCGUAGCCGACCUGAGAGGGUGAACGGCCACACUGGGACUGAGACACGGCCCAGACUCCUACGGGAGGCAGCAGUAGGGAAUCUUCGGCAAUGGGCGAAAGCCUGACCGAGCAACGCCGCGUGAGUGACGAAGGUUUUCGGAUCGUAAAACUCUGUUGUGAGGGAAGAACAAGUACCAACUAACUACUGGUACCUUGACGGUACCUCACCAGAAAGCCACGGCUAACUACGUGCCAGCCGCCGCAGUAA